rnacentral:rRNA from 1 species
GACGAACGCUGGCGGCGUGCUUAACACAUGCAAGUCGAACGGAAAGGCCCUGCUUUUGUGGGGUGCUCGAGUGGCGAACGGGUGAGUAACAAGUGAGUAACCUGCCCUUGACUUUGGGAUAAAUUCAGGAAACUGGGGCUAAUACCGGAUAGGAGCUCCUGCUGCAUGGUGGGGGUUGGAAAGUUUCGGCGGUUGGGGAUGGACUCGCGGCUUAUCAGCUUGUUGGUGGGGUAGUGGCUUACCAAGGCUUUGACGGGUAGCCGGCCUGAGUGGGUGACCGGCCACAUUGGGACUGAGAUACGGCCCAGACUCCUACGGGAAGCAGCAGUGGGGAAUAUUGCACAGUGGGCGGAAGCCUGAUGCAGCAACGCCGCGUGCGGGAUGACGGCCUUCGGGUUGUAAACCGCUUUCGCCUGUGACGAAGCGUGAGUGACGGUAAUGGGUAAAGAAGCACCGGCUAACUACGUG